UCUGCCCCCAGGGGCAUUGCAGGUGUAGCUGCUUUUUGUCACAUGUGCGUAAGUAGGUGACAGAGAUGGAAGAGGCUAUGUCUGUGCUCAGUGUUCUGAUCUGUGAACACGUCAAGGAUUGGGAGCCUAACAUG